CACUAGCUUGCCCAGAGUUACUCAGCUAAUAAGCAGCUGAGCUGGGACUCCCACUCAGCAAUGCAGCUCCAGGCCUGGCUGCUAACCCCUUCUUCCUUCUUGGCAGCUGCCUUCACAGAGGAAUUCAAGAGAUCUGUCUAG
rnacentral:lncRNA from 1 species